rnacentral:rRNA from 1 species
UCACCUGUUUUUCAAAAACAUGUCUUAAAGAAAUUUAAUUUUAAGUCAAAUCUGCUCAAUGAAUUUUUAAUUUUAAUAGCUGCAGUAUUAAUAACUGUACUAAGGUAGCAUAAUAAUUUGUUUUUUAAUUUAAAACUAGAAUGAAUGAUUUAAUGAAAUAUAAACUGUCUCAAAAUAAAAUAAUAAAAUUAUUUUUUAAGUUAAAAAACUUAAAUUUUCUUUAAAGACGAGAAGACCCUAUAGAAUUUUAAUAUUUUUAUAUCUUAAAUAUUUAGACAUAAAAAUAUUUUAAUUGGGGAAAUUUUAAAAUUUAAUUAAUUUUUAAUUAAAUAAAACAUUUAUUUAUGAAUAAUUUUUAUUUUUUAAAAAAAUAAAAUAAAUUACCUUAGGGAUAACAGCAUAAUUUUUUUAAAAAGUUCAAAUUUAUAUUAAAGUUUAUGACCUCG